AACGAACGCUGGCGGCAGGCCUAACACAUACAAGUCGAACGAGAAGCCACCUUCGGGUGGUGGACAGUGGCAGACGGGUGAGUAACGCGUGGGAACGUGCCUUUCGGUUCGGAAUAACCCAGGGAAACUUGGGCUAAUGCCGGAUACGCCCUUCGGGGGAAAGAUUUAUCGCCGAAAGAUCGGCCCGCGUCGGAUUAGCUUGUUGGUGGGGUAAAAGCCUACCAAGGCGACGAUCCGUAGCUGGUCUGAGAGGAUGAUCAGCCACACUGGGACUGAGACACGGCCCAGACUCCUACGGGAGGCAGCAGUGGGGAAUAUUGGACAAUGGGCGAAAGCCUGAUCCAGCCAUGCCGCGUGGGUGAAGAAGGCCCUAGGGUUGUAAACCCCUUUCAGCGGGGAAGAUAAUGACGGUACCCGCAGAAGAAGCCCCGGCUAACUCCGUG
rnacentral:rRNA from 1 species